AAACUANUUUAAUUUGGCGGCAUUUCAUCUAUUUAGAGGAAUUUGUUUUUUAAUCGAUAAUCCACGUUAAAUUUCACUUUAAUUAAAAAUUUAUAUACCGCCAUCUUAAGAAUUAAUCAAAAAAUAUUUUUCAAAAUAAAUUAUAAUAAGUUAGGUCAAGGUAUAAUCUACAUUAAAGAAAUAAAUGAAUUACAUUAAAUAAAAUUUAAAGACUAUUAAUAAUUAUAUAAAUACAAAUACGAAUUUAAAAGUAAUAUAUAAAUAAUAAUAAUAUAUGAUAAAGAUAAUAAAUGUGCACACAUCGCCC
rnacentral:rRNA from 1 species